rnacentral:lncRNA from 1 species
AACCGAGACUCUGGAGAGCUCACAUUCAGAAAGAGAAAGAGAAGCAUCCUUAUCAAGGGGAAGGAGAAGGCCAUUCCUUUAAAAUGGAGGCUGGGUCCACAGGCUGCCAUCUUCUCCCCAAACCCACUGAACCAUGCAAAAAUCAAGAAAACCAUCAUCAGCCUGUGAUGGUUGCAGAAACACACGUGCUUUCUCUACCCAAGCAGUAUGAGCACGGCCACUGGACAAGAGCAUGGACAGGAACUCCUUGAGAGAGAACCCGCGAAGGCUGACAGCCUGCAGUUCCCAGGAGGUCACUCCGGGAGACCACAGCGGCAGCGCUCUGGUGAACACCAGGACACCUUUCUUCAGACCAGACUGUAUCUUUUGAGUGUGAAGUUGAUUGAGUGUUUCCCUGAGCCAAGCCCAAGGGAGCCAAGGCUCAGAGCACAAGAAGGAGCCAGGCCCACCCUGAGCUGGCUGCUGGCCUUCCAUGGUUCUGUCUUUGAGCGGCUUGUCCCCUUCCUACCCUCCCCCGGCUUGUCUGCCUGGCUUCUCUUUCCAAUUCUUAAUUCUUCUUUUACAAGGUUAUAAAAGUUUCCUAGAAUGGUUGGGAAUAUAAAGGAGUGUAGAAAACAUUUUGGGCUGGGACCAUGACAUGUGGGCGUGGGGAGCCAUCAUGGCUCCCUCACAGGCCAAGUGACUCACGCAGACCAGUGUCCCGACCACCCAGAAGCCAGGUCUCUGUCUCUGGGACAGUUCCUGAUUGUUACAGGCCUCUGGGAUGGCACAUGUGGGACCCAGUUUUGAAGGUGGAAUUCCAGGAGGCUGGGCAUUCUAACUAGGGCUGCUCUGUGUUCUGGGUCUCUGCCACCAUUUUCCCUCAAAUGCCCUCGGGAGGCAGGUGUUCUACAUGUGUAUAUGUCAUAGAUUUUGACAAGAGUAAGCCUUCAGUUCAGUGGCCCCAUGGCUGACUCUGGCACAUGUGGGGUAUGGGUACUUACCCUAUCUGUCCAAGAUAUCUCUAUAAGAACAUUCAGAUGCUUUGGUCCAGAUGGAAGGUGACAAGACUAUAGAUAAUAGUUCUGUUCCAUAAUGGGCCCUUGCUGGUUCUAUUUUAUCCAGGUAUCAGUCCAUGUUGCCCUCUUUAUCAUAGACAGUGUGAUUCAUGAUUAAGCACUUCACGAUUAAGUUUGAGAUGCAGCAAAGAAGACUAGGGUCAAAUUCAGGUGCGAUCAAUGUCAUGUCCCCUCACCCCUCUCAUGACCCCCUCGCCCCUCAGAUGAGCUCAGUGGGUUCCAGGCUACAUUGCAAAAAGCUCAAGGAGACUGGUCCUCCACGCUUAGUUUUUGCCAUCAGACAAAUUAGACACUUGGUUUUUGUUGUUUGUUUGAUAUUCAUAACACUCGAGAGCAGGCUGUAGAGUCUCUCACUAAGCUUCUCUAGGCUUCUCUAGCUUUCCCCACAGCCUUGGGAGGUGAGCCAGUUGGGCUUUGAGCCAGCCACCCUCACUUUCUGUCAGUUGAGCUUGGAGAGCUUGAGUUGUGGUCAGUUGGUCAUUAGACAGUUAAUCCAUCCACAGACGGGGUGAGUGGACUUUAUGGGCAAAGUGACCCAGAACUUGUGCAGAGCCACUUGGAACCUGGAUCUAGCAGGGUGGCCAGGCAGCCCUUGCACUGAGGGGUAAGGUCAGUGGAGGGUGACAUGACCACCAGGUGGGGCCACUCUUUAUAUUUAGAGGGGGCUCAGAAUAGGGACAUAGAGCCCCAGACAUUAUUUGGUGGAGGGUUUUGGGCAGAGCAGAGGCAGGACCAUCUGGGAGACCUGCACCUAUAGCUGUCAGGCAGUACUGCCCUGGUGAGGGCCUGAAGGAAAGGGGGAAAAACUUCCAGAAACAUCUGUGAAUCACUCCUCCCUCUUUCUCCCCUCUCCCAGGCUGCUCUGUGACCCUGGGGGAACAAAACAAUCUCUAGUGGCUGCCCUGUCCUUAGAUUUUUAUUUUGUUUCCAUGGUAAGAAGGGUCUUUUUCCUCCCUGUCCAUUUCAAACCCCCAACCAAAAAAACACCAAGCCAAGAUCCCGCAGCCUCCAGGGUUGCCCUGGCUGCUCCUGGCAAGUAGGGUGAAAGCAUUUGUUGCCAUCAUAAAGUCAGGUUGCUUCCCCGGUCUGUGCUACCAGGAAGCUUACAGCUUGAUUUCCAACCCACUCCUUGCAGCUGUACAGAACCGCAUGGUGUGCUGUGUGGCUCCUUUGAUUCUUGGCUUCACCCCAAUGUCUUUCCAGUGCCCGUCCUGUGGGCUGCCCUCUAGACUGUCCCAGCUCUGCCCACAAGGAGGAUGUAGACUCCCUUAUGCCAAGCUCCAUCCUGAGGUCCAUCCAUGUCCUCAGGGUCUCCAACGGUCCUGUGGCUGCUGAUAAAAGGCAGGUGCAAAGCAAGAAGUCCACCCUUUCCUCGACUCCAGCAAUUCUGGGGCAGCCGUGGGGGUGGAGGUAGGGCCCAGGGCAGCCUUGCUCUGGAAUUGACCGAGGGUUCCAGUGUAACCGUAUCUUCUGCAGAGGUUCGGUCUCUGUGGUCCUGCUGGGUUCAAGGGGCAUCAUCUCUGACAAUGGGGCCUGAAGCUGGGCCUCUCUUGAGGGCCAUCAGCUCCCACUCCUGACUGAGAAGAGUGGGGAUCAGGCUUCAUGGACAUGGCUGGAGUUCACAGGAUGAUGCUAGAGUUGUAGCCUUCACCAUGGCUAUGAGCCUGCUCAUCAGCCCCGUGUCCAGCAGACCCCAGAGACCCCUGAGUUUUCAUGCUUUCUGCAGCUUAAGGACUUUUAGUCUCUACACUCUGUCCACAAGACACCUUUGCAGGAAAGGAUGUGCAUGCCCAUUCCAUGACUCAGGUCUUCCCAACCGUAUGGUCCUGUGUGUCCCAGGCAGAAAGCAGGGUCCAGCUCAACUUGGAGGACCAGAUUUUCGUAUAUGGCAUGAGCUGAGACAUAGGUAUCCAAGGCUUUGUAAAUGUCUGUGAGUUUUCUGGACCUCCUUCCCCAUCCAAGACAUGGGCAUGGCGUGGGCGUGGUGUGGCCGAGUGGGCGUGUGUGUGUGUGUGUGUGUGUGUGUGUGUGUGUGUGUGGUUUCUGUUGCUGCAGACAUGUUACUGUGGUCCACACCAGGCCUCAAUGGCAUACCCCAGAGGAAGGAAUAAAUAAAUGUUCCCUUAGCGUGAGUCAGGACCUAGACUCUCUCUAAGGUAAUGCUGGUCUCAAAGAGUCUGCUUAAACUGAUCUUACAAGCAUAAUUAUCCUGAAUAAAGAGAGUGGGCUUAGUC